GACGAACGCUGGCGGCGUGCUUAACACAUGCAAGUCGAACGGGCCCGCCCCUGUUUUUGGGGGUGGGUUGAGUGGCGAACGGGUGAGUAUCACGUGAGUAACCUGCCCCCUGCUCCUGGAUAACUGCUUGAAAGGGCGGCUAAUACGGGGUGUGCCGGCUGUUCCGCAUGGGCCUGGUCGGGAUAGUUUCAUCUUCGGGUGUUUCGGUGGGGGAUGGGCUCGCGGCCUAUCAGCUUGUUGGUGGGGGGAUGGCCCACCAAGGGGGUGACGGGUGGCCGGCCUGGGGGGGUGGGCGGCCAGAAUGGGACUGAGGCACGGGCCAGCCGCGGGCGGGAGGCAGCGGUGGGGGGUAUUGCACAAUGGGCGGAAGCCUGAUGCAGCGACGUCGCGUGAGGGAGGGAGGCCUUCGGGUUGGGAACCUCUUUCUGCGGUGGUGAAGGCCCUGUCCGUUGCGGCGGGGUUGACGGUAGCCGGGGAUGAAGCGCCGGCUAACUACGUG
rnacentral:rRNA from 1 species